rnacentral:tRNA from 1 species
GCCCGGGUGGCCUAGCCGGGAGGGCGCCAGACUCAUAAUCUGGAGAUCACGGGAUCGAAACCCGUCCCGGGCA